rnacentral:tRNA from 1 species
GAGGGGAUAGCUCAGUGGUAGAGUGCAUGCCAUGCAGGAGGUCCUGGGUUCAAUCCCCAGUACAUACA